UUUCUUUUCUUCCCUUUCCUUCCUUUCAAGUUCUUCCUUCUCUUUCUUUUGUAGUCUCUCUUCCUUCUCUCGCUUUUCUUCCUCUUCUUUCUUUUCUUUUUCUCUUCUUAUUCUCUCUUUUUCUUCUUCUUCUGUCCUAUGUUGCUCUCUUUUUUCUUCCUCAUCUCUCUUCACUCGUUCUCUUCUCUCUCUUUCUUCCUCUUCUAUUCUCGCUUGUUCUCUUCUUCUCUCUCUUUCUCUUCUUCUCUUUUUCUCUCUUUUCUUCUCUCGUGUCUUUCUAUUCUUUCUUGUUGUUCCCUACGUUUUCUCUCUAGGUCUCUUUUACUUCCCUCAUUCAAGAACUUCAUAAGUUUAUCUCUAAAUUCUCUUUCCUGACAAUAAAAC
rnacentral:lncRNA from 1 species